CUCCGGUUGAUCCUGCCGGACCCGACUGCUAUCAGAGUGGGACUAAGCCAUGCGAGUCAACGUAGCAAUACGUGGCAUACGGCUCAGUAACACGUAGUCAACAUGCCCAGGGGACGGGGAUAACCUCGGGAAACUGAGGAUAAACCUCGAUAGGCCAUGAUUUCUGGAAUGAUUCUUGGCUCAAACCUAUAUGGCCCCUGGAUUGGACUGCGGCCGAUCAGGCUGUUGGUGAGGUAAUGGCCCACCAAACCUAUUACCGGUACGGGCUCUGAGAGGAGGAGCCCGGAGAUGGGCACUGAGACAAGGGCCCAGGCCCUAUGGGGCGCAGCAGGCGCGAAACCUCUGCAAUAGGCGAAAGCUUGACAGGGUUACUCUGAGUGAUUUCCGCUAAGGGAAUCUUUUGGCACCUCUAAAAAUGGUGCAGAAUAAGGGGUGGGCAAGUCUGGUGUCAGCCGCCGCGGUAAUACCAGCACCCCGAGUGGUCGGGACGAUUAUUGGGCCUAAAGCAUCCGUAGCCGGUCCUGCAAGUCUUCCGUUAAAUCCAGCUGCUCAACAGAUGGGCUGCGGGAGAUACUACAGGGCUAGGAGGCGGGAGAGGCAAGCGGUACUUUAUGGGUAGGGGUAAAAUCCGCUGAUCCAUAGAAGACCACCAGUGGCGAAGGCGGCUUGCCAGAACGCGCUCGACGGUGAGGGAUGAAAGCUGGGGGAGCAAACCGGAUUAGAUACCCGGGUAGUCCCAGCUGUAAACGAUGCAGACUCGGUGAUGGGUUGGCCUCGCGCCUGCCCAGUGCCGCAGGGAAGCCGUUAAGUCUGCCGCCUGGGGAGUACGGUCGCAAGACUGAAACUUAAAGGAAUUGGCGGGGGAGCA
rnacentral:rRNA from 1 species